rnacentral:rRNA from 1 species
AUUGAACGCUGGCGGCAGGCCUAACACAUGCAAGUCGAGCGGAGGAAGGGAGCUUGCUCCUGGAUUCAGCGGCGGACGGGUGAGUAAUGCCUAGGAAUCUGCCUGGUAUUGGGGGAUAACGUCCGGAAACGGGCGCUAAUACCGCAUACGUCCUGAGGGAGAAAGUGGGGGAUCUUCGGACCUCACGCUAUCAGAUGAGCCUAGGUCGGAUUAGCUAGUUGGUGGGGUAAAGGCCUACCAAGCCGACGAUCCGUAACUGGUCUGAGAGGAUGAUCAGUCACCCUGGAACUGAGACACGGUCCAGGCUCCUACGGGAGGCAGCAGUCGGGAAUAUUGGACAAUGGGCGAAAGCCUGGUCCAGCGAUGCCGCGUGUGUGAAGAAGGUCUUCGGAUUGUAAAGCACUUUAAGUUGGGAGGAAGGGCAGUAAGUUAAUACCUUGCUGUUUUGACGUUACCAACAGAAUAAGCACCGGCUAACUUCGUG